rnacentral:rRNA from 1 species
GAAGGCCCUUCGGGGUACUCGAGCGGCGAACGGGUGAGUAACACGUGAGCAACCUGCCCCUGACUCUGGGAUAAGCCCGGGAAACUGGGUCUAAUACCGGAUAUGACGCGCUCUCGCAUGGGAUGCGUGUGGAAAGUUUUUUCGGUUGGGGAUGGGCUCGCGGCCUAUCAGCUUGUUGGUGGGGUAGUGGCCUACCAAGGCGACGACGGGUAGCCGGCCUGAGAGGGCGACCGGCCACACUGGGACUGAGACACGGCCCAGACUCCUACGGGAGGCAGCAGUGGGGAAUAUUGCGCAAUGGGCGGAAGCCUGACGCAGCGACGCCGCGUGGGGGAUGACGGCCUUCGGGUUGUAAACCUCUUUCAGCAGGGACGAAGUUGACGUGUACCUGCAGAAGAAGCGCCGGCUAACUACGUGCCAGCAGCCGCGGUAAUACGUAGGGCGCAAGCGUUGUCCGGAAUUAUUGGGCGUAAAGAGCUCGUAGGUGGCUGGUCGCGUCUGCCGUGAAAGCCCGCAGCUUAACUGCGGGUCUGCGGUGGAUACGGGCCGGCUAGAGGUAGGUAGGGGCAAGUGGAAUUCCUGGUGUAGCGGUGAAAUGCGCAGAUAUCAGGAGGAACACCGGUGGCGAAGGCGGCUUGCUGGGCCUUACCUGACGCUGAGGAGCGAAAGCGUGGGGAGCGAACAGGAUUAGAUACCCUGG